UACGUAGGGGCUAGCGUUAUCCGGAAUUACUGGGCGUAAAGGGCGCGUAGGUGGGCGUUUAAGUCAGAUGUGAAAACUCCGGGCUCAACUUGGAGAUUGCAUUUGAAACUAGAUGUCUUGAGGGCAGGAGAGGAAAGUAGAAUUCCUAGUGUAGCGGUGAAAUGCGUAGAUAUUAGGAGGAACACCAGUGGCGAAGGCGACUUUCUGGACUGUACCUGACACUGAGGCGCGAAAGCGUGGGUAGCGAACGGGAUUAGAUACCCCGGUAGUCCCUGAG
rnacentral:rRNA from 1 species